AUUGAACGCUGGCGGCAGGCCUAACACAUGCAAGUCGAACGAGUGGCGGACGGGUGAGUAAUGUCUGGGAAACUGCCCGAUGGAGGGGGAUAACUACUGGAAACGGUAGCUAAUACCGCAUACCAUCGGAUGUGCCCAGAUGGGAUUAGCUAGUAGGUGGGGUAACGGCUGACCUAGGCGACGAUCCCUAGCUGGUCUGAGAGGGUGACCAGCCACACUGGGAAUGAGACACGGGCCAGACUCCUACGGGAGGCAGCAGUGGGGAAUAUUGGACAAUGGGGGGAAGCCUGAUGCAGCCAUGCCGCGGGGAUGAAGAAGGCCUUCGGGUUGGAAAGUACUUUUAGGCGGGAGGCGUUACUCGCAGAAGAAGCACCGGCUAACUCCGUGCCAGCAGCCGCGGUAAUUC
rnacentral:rRNA from 1 species